ACUGCCAUCAUAGUGAAUCUCCUGUGCUUCAUGCCCUGUGCAUUGACCUUGCACCCUGCGUACCUCCACCAUUAAAAAACUUGAAGCCUACAUCCUUCAAGGUAUCCUCCUUUAUUUUGAUACUACACAAUCUCCACCUAGAUCUCAGAAUUUUGCAUGUCUGUAGUCGAGCUACACAUCUGUCCCAUAGUCGGCUAUAUCCAGCUGUGCUCCUACCGUGGCUCCAUAGCUGCCUAUCUCCCAACUGCACCUAUGCCGCAGUCCAGAGCUGCCUAUCUCCACAGCCAUAUCUGUGCUAUAGCUCCAUAGUUGCC
rnacentral:lncRNA from 1 species